rnacentral:lncRNA from 1 species
CUUAAUUAAUUAAAUACUAUGAAUAUUAAUAGAUUUAAUUUUAAUGCACAAAAUGUGGGUUAUAAAAUAAAGAGGGAAUGUAGCAAAUCCAAAUUAAUAAAUGUUAAAAGCGAGAAUAAUAGUAAUAAUGAUAAUAGUAGCAGUAAAUGUAGUAACAGCUAUAAUAGUAAUGACCAUAAUAGUAAUAAUAAAGUUUCUACUGUAAAAUUAGGUAAGGAAAAUGUAGCUAUUAUUGAAAGUUUUUAUAAAAAUAACUUAUAUAAAGUAGGGGAGAAUAAUAAUAAGUCUAAUGUUUAUAGUAGUAAUAGUAGUAGUAAUAGUCGUGAUAAUAAUAUAAACACUAGUACAGUCCUUAAACCACUAAAAGAUGUGCAUGGAUUAAAUUAUGACAAGGAUAUUGAUAAUUUCAUAAAUGAAAAGUAUGACAGUUAUGUAUAUUUGAAUUAUUCUAAAAACAAUUUAAGGGGCAAUUCAAAUGUAAAAAGUGUUUGUGGAAAUACAAAUGGAAACAUAUCACAUAUAGUUUCGGAUGAUAAAUCAAAUUAUGAGUCAAAUAAUGGGUUUCUUUUUGCACGAAAUUUUAGUAAUAGUGAUAAUUUUGCUUACACAUCUUUUGUAAAAAACGAUAAUAACAAUAAUAAUAACAAUAAUGCAUUACAAAAAUAUAAAGAAAACGAAAAUUGUGAGAAACCAAAAAAAAUAAAUGAAGAGAAGGUACAGAAUUAUUUAAAGCUGGGAGAAAAAGAAAAAAAAGAAGAAAUAGAAAAGUUUACAAAAAUUAAAAGACAUGAAAAAAAUGAAGUAACACAUGAAAGCCAUGAUAUAUACAAAGAAAAAGGUUUAUUGUUACCUAAGCAAUUAACACAUAAUGCCAGUAGUAUUACUCAAUAUAAUACAAAUGUGGUUAACGGUAAAAUAAUAAAUAUGCAAAAAAAAGAAUGUAAUGUGAAUAAUUUGCUUAAAAAAAAGACAAAUAAAAAAGAUUUAAAUGACGGUAUAUUAAAAAAUGAAAAAAAAAUAAAUAGAUAUUCAGAUGACGAUAUAUUAAAAAAUGGAAAUGUUUUUAUAAGUGAAAAAGUUGAAAAGUUUAUAUGUAGUAAUCAUAUACUUAAUAAUUAUGAAUAUAAUAUUUCAUCAAAUUAUUGUGUUCGCAAAUUUUAUGAUAACAAACAAGAUAUGAAUUUGCUUGUAAAUCAUGUGCAACAUAAAAAAUGCGUGGCUACCUAUAAUAAUGGUAACAUAUAUUGUCAAAAUUGCCAAAACAGUCAAAAUUGUAAGAACUGCAAAGUAAAAUAUUUAAAUAAACACACAACAGCUAAAGAUGAAAACAGCAGUGAUUUAGAUCAAAUUAUGAAUUGUUAUAGCAAAGAAAUAGCGAAAAAAAAAAAAAUGGAUAAAACUUUUGAAAAAAAAAAAAAAAAAAAUUAUGAACAUUUUUACAUGAAUAGUCAUAAUUUACAAAAAUUAAAAGAAAAAAAUGUAGCUAACCAAAAUACAUUUUAUAAUUAUGAAAAAAACUUACAGAGUGAUAGUUUUAUGAAAUAUAGGACUUGUGAAGUAAAUGAGUUUACGUGUAACAAUAAUAUACACGAAAAUAACUAUAAUAAAAAAAAUAAACUAUAUGAUGAAAAAAAAAAAAAUUAUGACAAAAAAAAAAAAAAAAUUAUGACCAAAAAAAAAUUAUAUAUUGAACAAAUUAACAAAUUGGACAUAAUAAAAAAAUCAACAACGUAUAAACAAGAGUCACCAAAUAAUAUUUUCAAUAACAAUCAUAUAAAUAAAAAUUUAAUAGACGUUGUAGGAGACUAUCAAAAAGGUAAUAACAGUUCAAAUACAGAUAUUAUUAAAUUAAGCAAUAGUAACAAUAAUAGCAAUUUAGUGGACGAAGAUAACUUUGUGUUACGUGACGAAGGUCACAUGGAAACUGAUAAGGAAAAUUAUAUGGAAAAAUAUGUACCUUCUUUAAAAAAAAAUCAGCACUUAAAAAAUAAUUUUAAUCAUAAGGAAUAUGAUAAUAUACAAUAUAGCACUAAUAAAAACAUUAAUACUUGUAAUAACAUAAAUAAAGAUAUAUUAAAUUGUAAUGCAGAAUUUUGCUUAAAUGACAAAUGCAACGAACUUUCAAGAAGAUUCGUUAAUUUAGAACAAGGUGAAAUUAAUAAUUUUGUAAAAAAUAAACAAAAAAAAAUUGAUGAAUUUUUAGAGUUUUAUGAUAAAAAGAAAAUUAUAAAUAUACCGAAUGGAAACAGAAUGGACGUACUUGAGGAAAUUAUAAACAAAAAUGAGACUAUAAAUCAAAUAAAAAUAAAUAAAAAAAAUGAGUUUAAUGACAUUUUUAAUAAAAACGAAACAAUAAACAUAUUAUCAAACAGAGAUGAAAUUGAUGAGUUUAUUGAAUUUUGUGAUAAUAAAAGAGAUAUUAGAAAAACUGAAAAAAGUCAAGAAUUAAAAAAAAUAACUUUAGAAAAUUUGGAAAAUUUAGAAAGUUUAAAAAUGCAUGAUAACAUUAGCUACAAACAAGAAAACAAAAUGAUAAACGAUUUUUCAGAAUUUUAUGAUAACAAUAAAAGUACUAAAAAAAGGGAAAGUGCUGAACAUUCAUUUAUAGAUAGUUAUAAUAGUGAACAUAUAAACAAAAACGAAAUACUCGAUUUUUUCGAGGAUACUCACCAUAAUGUUAACAACUUAAAGACUAGCAAAGCAGAAUGUUUUCCAUCGUUUACGUAUGCUUCGGGUAGAGAAGUUAGUAUAAAUGAGGAUACGUUAAAAAAAAUGAGAAAUCAAUUAUUUAACGAUAAUGAUAGUGAUAUGAAUGUUAAAAAUAUGAAUCCACAUGAAAAAGUCAGCUCAUUUUUUACGUAUGCUUCGGGUAGAGAAGUUAGUGUAAAUGAGGAUACGUUAGAAAAAGUGAGAAAUCAAUUGUUUAACGAUAAUGAUAGUGAUAUAAACGUUAAAGAUAUGAAUCCACAUGAAAAAGUCAGCUCAUUUUUUACGUAUGCUUCGGGUAGAGAAGUUAGUAUAAAUGAGGAUACGUUGAAAAAAAUGAGAAAUCAAUUAUUUAACGAUAAUGAUAGUGAUAUGAAUGUUAAAAAUAUGAAUCCACGUGAAAAAGUCAGCUCAUUUUUUACGUAUGCCUCAGGUAGAGAAGUUAGUGUAAAUGAGGAUACGUUAGAAAAAGUGAGAAAUCAAUUGUUUAACGAUAAUGAUAGUGAUGUGAAUGCUAAACAUAUGAAUCCACAUGAAAAAGUCAGCUCAUUUUUUACGUAUGCUUCGGGUAGAGAAGUUAGUGUAAAUGAGGAUACGUUAGAAAAAGUGAGAAAUCAAUUGUUUAGCGAUAACGAUAGUGAUAUAAACGUUAAAGAUAUGAAUCCACGUGAAAAAGUCAACUCAUCUUUUACGUAUGCCUCGGGUAGAGAAGUUAGUAUAAAUGAGGAUACGUUGAAAAAAAUGAGAAAUCAAUUAUUUAACGAUAAUGAUAGUGAUAUGAAUGUUAAAAAUAUGAAUCCACAUGAAAAAGUCAGCUCAUUUUUUACGUAUGCCUCAGGUAGAGAAGUUAGUGUAAAUGAGGAUACGUUAGAAAAAGUGAGAAAUCAAUUGUUUAGCGAUAACGAUAGUGAUAUAAACGUUAAAGAUAUGAAUCCACAUGAAAAUGUCAGCUCAUUUUUUACGUAUGCUUCGGGUAGAGAAGUUAGUGUAAAUGAGGAUACGUUAGAAAAAAUGAGAAGUCAACUGUUUAACGAUAAUGAUAGUGAUAUGAAUGUUAAAAAUAAUAAUUAUUCUAAACGGGUAAUAAAUGUAUUAAAUACUAGUGAUGGUUAUAUACAUUCAAACGAUAUAAAUAGAACAGAGAUACAAAAUACAAAUAAUAGUUUAUUUUUUAAUCAAAAAAAAAGGAAAAUAAAAGAUAUUGUUUCAGAGAAUAAUACAACAGUUAGAUCUUUCGUAAAUGAUAAUGUACUUUAUCCAAAAGAAGAUAGCGCAAAAAAAAAAAUAAAAAAAUUAGAAAAAGAUAUAUAUAUUAAUGAAAGUAAUAACACGUAUAAUAGUGAAGGUAACCUUCACAAUAAUAUAUUAGAGGAACUCGGAUCCUACGAUUCAGAAGAAUAUGAUGAGAUUAUGAAAAAAGAAGUAAAUUUACUUAAAAAGGGAAUUGAUUUAAAUAUAAUAUAUUCAGACGAUAAUAAUGGUAUGUUACAAGUUAAUAAAAUAAAAAAAGAAAUGGACAUAAGUAUAAAAAAAAAAGUAAAUAAUACUAAUACUAAAUUAAAACUUAUAACUGAUUUUAUUAACCCAAGAAAACAUGAGACAAAUGAUCAAUUAGAACAAAUUAAAAUAAUAAAAACCGUUAAUAACAAUAACAGUAGUAGUAGUAGUAGUAGUAAUAAAGAAUUAUAUUUAAAUGUAAAUUUAAAAAAACAUUUGAAAUUAAUUAAAGACACGUUUAUUAAUUUAUCACAAAACAGGAAGCUAAACUAUGUUAACAAUAGCAAUAGCAACAACUAUACAUUGACAAAUAGUUUAAUGUUUACAAAUGAAGGC